AGUCAAAGGGAAGACUUUGCCAAAUUAUCCAUCUUUUGCGUCUUGCAGUUAUAACCUGUGUUAUUUUUGAUACCAAGGAAAUGUAUGCAUUUAAAACAAAUCCUUAAAUACAGUGAUAGCAACAAUCCUGCUGGAUUAGGUGGCACGUACAAAUGCAAAUGGUUUUAGAAGGAAUGAUCAGUUCACUGGACAACUUAGCAUUCAAUACAGUUCUACACUAGCCUGUUACGACCAUGGCCUUAUUGAUUGAUUUGGGUAAAACAAGAUAAGAUUAUGCAUUGGAGUAGAAAGCCCUGUCUUUCUCUGCAGGGUUUGGUUAUAAAAACCUGUUUAGG
rnacentral:lncRNA from 1 species